CCUUAAUGAGGCAAUGAUCGAAGGGAGCGGUCGGCGCCAUUAGUAGCGCGACGCUUGAAGUGAAAUUCUUACAUCGUUUCAUGGCGAACCGUAUCGAUGCCUUUUGACAAGCAUGUUUUCCUCGAUCAAGAGCGAAAGUCGGAGGUUCGAAGACGAUCAGAUACCGUCGUAGUUCCGACCGUAAACGAUGCCGACCGGCGAUUCGCUGGCGUUCGCUUCCAUGACCCGGCGGGUAGCCUGCGGGAAACCAGAGUUCGGUUCCGGGGGGAGUAUGGUUGCAAAGCUGAAACUUAAAGGAAUUGACGGACGGGCACCACCAGGAGUGGAGCCUGCGGCUUAAUUUGACUCAACACGGGAAAAAACUCACCCGGUCCGGACACCGGUAGGAUUGACAGAUCGAUAGCUCUUUCUCGAUUCGGUGGGUGGUGGUGCAUGGCCGUUCUUAGUUGGUGGAGCGAUCCGUCUGGUUGAUUCCGAUAACGAACGAGACUCCGGCCUGCUAACUAGUGCGCCGAUGUGUGUGUUUAUUCAACGGCGGGCUCGGCGUUCAUCGCAGCACCCGGGUCGGUUUUCUCACGCACUUCUUAGAGGGUUAUGUUGCAGAAAGGCACGCGUGGCAGAGAGACAGCAGGUAUGUGAUGGCCUUAGAUGUUCGGGGCUGCUAGGGCGUACCAUGAAUACAUCAGCGGGCCCCCACCUCCCCGGCCGGAGUGGGUAGUUUU